GACGAACGCUGGCGGCGUGCUUAACACAUGCAAGUCGAACGGAAAGGCCCUGCUUUUGUGGGGUGCUCGAGUGGCGAACGGGUGAGUAACACGUGAGUAACCUGCCCUUGACUUUGGGAUAACUUCAGGAAACUGGGGCUAAUACCGGAUAGGAGCUCCUGCUGCAUGGUGGGGGGUGGAAAGUUUCGGCGGUUGGGGAUGGACUCGCGGCUUAUCAGCUUGUUGGUGGGGUAGUGGCUUACCAAGGCUUUGACGGGUAGCCGGCCUGAGAGGGUGACCGGCCACAUUGGGACUGAGAUACAGCCCAGACUCCUACGGGAGGCAGAAGUGGGGAAUAUUGCACAAUGGGCGGAAGCCUGAUGCAGCAACGCCGCGUGCGGGAUGACGGCCUUCGGGUUGUAAACCGCUUUCGCCUGUGACGAAGCGUGAGUGACGGUAAUGGGUAAAGAAGCACCGGCUAACUACGUG
rnacentral:rRNA from 1 species